GACAAGUUGGCCGAGUGGUUAUGGCGUGUGACUCAAGCGCAAGCUUCUCGGGUUGUUUUCCCGACGCAUUCUCAUGGGCGUAGCCCGCGGGGGUUCGAAUCCCCCACUUGUCA
rnacentral:tRNA from 2 species